UACGUAGGGUCCGAGCGUUGUCCGGAAUUAUUGGGCGUAAAGGGCUCGUAGGCGGUUCGUCACGUCGGGCGUGAAAACUCGGGGCUUAACCCCGAGCCUGCUUCCGAUACGGGCAGACUAGAGGUAGGCAGGGGAGAGCGGAACUCCUGGUGUAGCGGUGGAAUGCGCAGAUAUCAGGAAGAACACCGGUGGCGAAGGCGGCUCUCUGGGCCUUACCUGACGCUGAGGUGCGAAAGCGUGGGGAGCAAACAGG
rnacentral:rRNA from 1 species